rnacentral:lncRNA from 1 species
GCUUGGUAAGUGUAUGUCAGAUUAUUCUCUGUCUUGCCAGGCAGAUCUGCUUUUAUUCCAAUGAGGGAGUAUGAGGAAAGAGGCAGAGAGAAGAUCAAGGAGUAUUCAAUCCAAUAUUGCUCCUUCAUCCCUAUGGAAAUGUGGAAGGGAAGCGAGGAGGCCAGAAAGAGAUCAGAAAGAUUUCGUUUUGUGUUUGAUCUGCCUUUGAGGUACCUUGUUCUGCAAAUUCUCGUGGCCCAAAUGGACAGACUGGAAGUACUCAGAGGACAAUUGAACGUGCUCAGAGAAAGAGGAGCCUAGUAUUGUCAAGGAAAAAAUGUGGGAUCAUUUUCCUAUCUGGUUCUCAUUCUCCCCAAAGGGGAGAGGGUGACCAUCGGGAGAUGGCUGAGAGCAUCACAUCCAGCGACGCACCCCCAAGAGCCCAUUGAAUGUGACGCAGGCACUUCCUCAUCUCAGGGAUCCUCUACCUGGAACAUGCUUUCUCUAGAAGCCUGUGUAUCCAGUUCACUCACCUCCAGGUCUUUGCUCACAUAUUGCCUUCUCAGUAAGGGCUACCUGGACCAUCCUGUUCAAAAUCAGAGACUGCUCACCGCCCCCCACUCCCCAAUCUUGCUGUCCUCCACUGUUUUGUUUUCCAUAGCACUUACUAUUUUCUAACAUAUAUAUCUAUUGAUUAUAUUUGUUGCUUAUUUUAUGUCUCACCCACUGGAAUAUAAGCUCUUUGUGUGUUUAGUUUAUUGAUGUAUUCCACGUGCCUGGGACAUACUUGCUUAAUGAAUGAACAAAUGCAUGAACGUGAAACUAUAGAUUUCUGUACUUUUUCUAUUUCCUUCCACUUCCAC